rnacentral:rRNA from 1 species
ACAUGCCUACAACAUAGCGUUAAUACACCGGAUCCCAUUAGAACUUCGAAGUUAACCAUGCUCAGGAUAGAGUAGUACUAGGAUGGGUGACCGCCUGGGAAGUCCUAGUGUUUUACAUGCC